UUUUUUAACGAUGGUUAGAAAUUAUAUUCGUAAAAUUGAUAGUGUGGAGUAUCCACCAGGUCACAUUGUAAAUGCUGCCAAAUAAAUUUUGUUGCAAAAUCAAACUGUGACUAGUGUUUCACUCAACUUCUCGAUUCCACGUCAAUAACUUUUGAGGUUUUUACUGAUCUGCAAGAAAAUUAACUCGUCAAGUAUUUGAAAAGGUCCAGUGACACUAAACAUGGUUUCACUACAAGGGAUACCAGAAAAUGGGCACAUGAUUAUGCUAGAAAACUUCAGUUGAAAUGUCCUGAAAACUUUUCGACAAAUUUGACAGCUGGGAAAGACUGGCUGGCUGGAUUUUUAAACAAAGUUACUUUGACUGAGAGCCAAAAUUUUGAUUUACCCAAAUUCAGCUGUCUCACAGAUGGUGAAAAUGAACUGCUGCUCUGCUGGAAGUCAUUUAACCUUUCACAAAAGCUG